AUUCAAGAAAAGGAUAUAAGUCCAACUUUAAGCUUUAAAAUAGCAUUAAAUAUAUAAACAAGCUUAAAAUUUAGUCAAAUAAGGUACAGCCUAUUUGAAACAGGAUACAACCUACAACAGAGGGUAACACCUAAAUAGGCGUAACCAAGUAGGCCUAAAAGCAGCCACCUUUUAAAUAGCGUUAAAGCUUCACUACACCCCACUAUUAAUCCCAACCUAAAUCAAAAACCCCUUACCAAUAUUGAAUGACUCUAUAAUUAUAUAGAAAACCCUAUGUCUGAACUAGUAAUAAGAAUAACUUCUCCACAAUAUAAGCAUAAGCCGGAAUGAACCCAUCGCCGGCACUUACCGCCAAUGAACCUACAGUAAUAACUAAACAAGAAAACCUUACUUUUUUAGGCGUUAACCUUACACCAGAAUAUUCCCGGAAAGAUUAAAAAAGGGGGAAGGAACUCGGCAAAUAUUAAUCCCGCC
rnacentral:rRNA from 1 species